UAUAAGUGUAACUGUGAGUUUCCACGUCUAAAUUUAAUCGUCUGUCUUAUUUAAAAUUUUUUUUAUAAUUAGUAUUUUUAUUAUUGUGAGAUGAUAAAAUAUAAAUAGUACUUUACUCGUGACUUAUAUUUUUAAUUUUUUUAAAUAAGACAGACGAUCAAAAGUUGUGUGUGGGAAACCAUGGCUGCACUUAAA
rfam:Oryza nivara chromosome 3, whole genome shotgun sequence.